rnacentral:rRNA from 1 species
CCUCAGUAACGGCGAGUGAAGCGGCAACAGCUCAAAUUUGAAAUCUGGCGGCCUCUGGGCCGUCCGAGUUGUAAUUUGAAGAGGAUGCUUUUGGCGAGGCGCCUUCCGAGUGCCCUGGAACGGGACGCCACAGAGGGUGAGAGCCCCGUAUGGUUGGACGCCGAGCCUCUGUAAAGCUCCUUCGACGAGUCGAGUAGUUUGGGAAUGCUGCUCAAAAUGGGAGGUAAACCCCUUCUAAAGCUAAAUACUGGCCAGAGACCGAUAGCGCACAAGUAGAGUGAUCGAAAGAUGAAAAGCACUUUGAAAAGAGAGUUAAACAGCACGUGAAAUUGUUGAAAGGGAAGCGCUUGCGACCAGACUUGUGCCCGUCGAAUCAGCCGCCGCUCGUCGGCGGCGCACUUCGGCGGGCUCAGGCCAGCAUCAGUUCGCUGCAGGGGGAGAAAGGCGAUGGGAAUGUGGCUCUUCGGAGUGUUAUAGCCCGCCGCGCAAUACCCCUCGGCGGACUGAGGACCGCGCAUCUGCAAGGAUGCUGGCGUAAUGGUCGUCAGCGACCCGUCUUGAAACACGGACCAAGGAGUCGUCCUAAUAUGCGAGUGUUCGGGUGUAAAACCCCUGCGCGUAAUGAAAGUGAACGGAGGUGAGAGCUUCGGCGCAUCAUCGACCGAUCCUGAUGUUCUCGGAUGGAUUUGAGUAAGAGCAUAUUGGGCCGGACCCGAAAGAAGGUGAACUAUGCCUGUAUAGGGUAAAGCCAGAGGAAACUCUGGUGGAGGCUCGCAGCGGUUCUGACGUGCAAAUCGAUCGUCAAAUA